AAUCGCUAAGGUUAACAUUUACAUAUUUAAGCUAUAUUGUAAAGUGAACAUAUGUUGAAGUUGAAACAGAUUUGAAAGUGAUAGUGAUUUGUGUUUUUUAUAGUUUUAAUAAUCCAAGAUGAAGCUGAUGAUCCUAGCGGCACUGGCGCUGCUGUCGCCAGCGCUAGGCUACAGAAUCCUGGCGAUCUUCCCCGUGCCUUCCAAAAGCCACAACCAUCUGGGGCAGGGCAUCGUCGGAGCCAUAUUGAAGGCGGGGCAUGAGGUGACCUGGGCGACCCCGUUCCCUAAGAAGGAGGCACAGAAGGGCCUCACAUUCAUCGAUGUCAGUGAAACUAUAGAGAUUAUUGCAUAUGUGGACCCUCUGAAGGUGCAGCAUAUGAGCAUCGGCAAUUUGAUGGAGUUCGGGCGGAACAUCUCCAUCGCGGCCGCUUCCAACAAGGGGGUCCAGCGAGCGCUGAUGGACAAUUACGAUGCUGUCAUCACUGAGGUCUUCUUCUCAGAUCUGCAGGCUGGCUUCGCAGCAGUCCUCCAAGUCCCCUGGAUCGUGCUGAGCGGCACGGUCAUCCACGCCGGAGUGGAGGCGAUGGUGGCUGACAUCGGCAGCACAGCGUUGGUGCCCACCAUGAUGAGCGGCUCUCCGAUACCUAUGAAUCUGUGGCAGCGCUUGGCGAACACGGCUACGAUUGGGAUGAUGACCGCCGGGCGCUUAUGGGACACAUCAAUUAGCGAGAAAUACUACCACGAGAUCUUCGAGCCCCUCGCCCAGAAGAAGGGCAUCGUCCUUCCCCCUUACUCCAAGGCCAUCCACAAUAUCUCCAUCCUGCUCUCCAACUCGCACCCGUCCCUGGCGCCGGCUAUCAGUUUGCCUCCUAAUGUGGUGGAUAUUGCCGGGUACCAUAUAGCUGAUCACCGCUCGCCGCUGCCUAAGGAUCUCCAAGAUCUAAUGGACAGCUCCAAGAACGGCGUGGUCUACUUCAGCAUGGGCUCCGUUCUAAAGGCCUCGGCGUUCCCGGAGCAGACCAGGCAGGACCUGAUCAGGAUCCUGGGAGCACUGCCCUGCACCGUGCUGUGGAAGUUCGAGGAGCCUCUGCAGGGGCUCCCGAAGAACGUGCAUAUCAGGCCGUGGAUGCCGCAGCCCGCUAUAUUAGCGCACCCAAACACCAAGCUCUUCAUCACUCACGGCGGCCUCCUCAGCACCCUCGAGGCCAUCCAAGCCGGGGUCCCUCUUCUGGCCAUGCCCGUGUUCGGUGACCAGCCCGGCAACGCCGUGCGGGCGCAGCGCGCCGGGUACGCGCUGGCCGUGCCCUUCGCGCCCGACGUGGGGGACAGGCUGGAGGCGGCGCUGGAUAAGAUGCUUUCAGACAAUAGCUACUACAAUAAAGCCAAGGAGCUAUCACGGCUGUUCAAUAACCGGCCCGUGCCUCCCGCCAAGCUCAUCACGCACUACGUGGAGCUCGCCAUUGAGACCAAAGGCGCACUACAUCUACGCUCCCCCGCGUACCACUACGCGUGGUACGAACGCUACAUGCUCGACCAACUCGCCGUGGUCUUAAUAGCUCUAUACGUGGUCGUGAAGUUGGUCAAAUACGUCCUGAAGAUGGCGCUAAACUCAAUAUUCGGAAAGCCCGCUAAGAAGGAUGGAAAGAAAGCUAAGAAGAAUUGAGAAUGUGUUAUAUAGCCAAUAUUAAGUGUGAAAGUGUAAGCUUAACAGUUGAAUGAUUUUAAUCAGGUUUUAAGAACCUCGCCACACAAUUAAAGUACUAAUUGUAAGUUAAUAUGUUUUUGAAUUAACACAUAUGAAUAUUGUUUAAAGCUUUGAUGAUUAGUACAGACUGUGACAAGCAUAGAGAAUGAUAAAAAUAUUGUAUUUUUUUUAUAAAGAAUCCUUGAUCGUAAGUAUAUUCUAACUUACAAAUACUCACUGUGAUAAAUGUGCCCCAAAAUAUUUAAAAUAAAUUUAAAUAAUGUAAUAUGUAUGAAUAAAUUGACAAAUAAAUAAUGUAAUAUGUAUGAAUGACUUGACAAAUGAUACUGAUUGAAAUUUAAAAUAUUAUAAAUAAAUAUAAUUAAA